UUGAAUUUGAAUUCAACGAUAAUUCUAAAAAUUCGCAUAUGAUUUCAAGUGUUCAAGAACCAAAGCUCGAUUUGAAACCAUUUUUUGAGAAUUUCUCUAAAUUGGAAGAGUCCGUUGCUAUACAUGAUUCUAAAGAUUGAUAUUCAUUUCUUUUUAUUUUAUUUUGUAUGUUUAUUUUUAGUUUUAUAAUGUUGUGUGUGUUUUUUUUUUAGGUGUGUUUCUUUUAUUGUUGUUUUUUUUUUUUACUAAUGAAAUUGAAGGAUCAUUUAGGCCAAGUUUAUGCAGACUUUCCAAGUAAAACUCAAAACCCGUCCCUUUGUUCAAAAUUUUGCUCCUUAUUGUCCUUCAUAUAUUUUGCACAUUUAAUCUUUACAUUGAGGACAAUGUUUCAUUUAGGUUGGGGGAAAGGAAUUAAAAUAAUGUUCAAAAAAAUGUUUAAAAAAAAAAAAAAAAAAUUCUUACUGACCAAUGAUAAUAUUUGAAAUUGUUUUUAUAUUAUUAUGACUAGGGGAUGCUACUUUGAUUUAGUUUAAACUUGGUCAUGUUAGAUUGAUCUACAUUGAGCACAAUAAUCAUGGAAAUCACAUAUUAUUUAGAUUGGAUCAAUGGAUAGAAUAUGUAGAAUUAAAUAUGACAAAAAAAAAAAAAAAAAAAAAUUCCAACUAAACCAAUUCUAGGAUAGUUUGGGGUGGUUGAGCUGUUGUGGGGAGACAUUGAGAUAGAUGUGGAUUCCAUGUGUGUUAAAUUUUGUGUGGAUUGCUUAAGACCAAUGAGAUGAUAAUUAGGUGAAAAUCUUAAGUUAAAGAUCGAUUUUCGAGAAUAAGUGUUUAAUGAGGGGCAUUGCACUAAUCAUUGCAUAGAAGGGAAAAAGCUGCCAUGUUGUGAAGCUACCCUAAAAGAGCCCAAUGAGGAAAAUUAUAUACAUAAAAAGAGAUAGGCUAGUGCAUGAAACAGAAUACGCACAGCAAACUUGAAAAAAGGAGGUGCAUGAAACAGAAGACGCACUACAUGCCUUGAUUGAGUCCCAAACACUUAUUUUAGAGAAUUAGACCUUUGAUAAGGGAUUAGUAGCUUAGUUGAUUCUUGGAGGUUGAGUCAGUCAAAAUUAAGGAGAAUCCUCAUUUAUUGAUGUGUUGAGCUACAAUUAGUAAAAUCUAACCAAACUAGAGAUGGUGAGUAAUAGUAUAUAAAUUUAACCAUACACUACACCUUGGGAAAAUAGUUACAAAAUCAAGUUUAGGGGUGUGCAUCCCACGAGAGAAGAGAGAAAUAAUUGACCAUUGAGGGUCGGGAUGGGUCCAAUUUGAAAAAGGUAUGUGAUUGAAUUGAUUAUGCACACACACACGCUGGUCGAGCAUUGGACAAGUUAGACUAUAUUUUGGUAGCAAACCUUAGAAGAAUUUUGAUAAGCAAUUUCAAAUUCUAUGGCAAAUGGGACAAGCUAUUUCAUUGGAACUAUUUUUGAAUUUUUAUUGCUAGAGACUAGCAAUAUCUUGGUUGGGGAGUGUGAUUAGUGUCUAAAAGUGCUUCAAAGAUAUAUCAUUUACAAGGCAUUUUACAUUCACUUUGUUUAAAAACACUAAUGUUAGUCUCUAAUUCCAAUUCUCAUGCCGUAAAUUCAAUUUCCAUAAAUACAUGGUUAAAAAUGCAAUUAAUUGAAAUACGUAUUUACAUACAUGGUGGCAUGAGUAUUAUACAUUUGAAAGAGUAUCUAUUUGAUGUAUUUCAUAUGUAUUUUCAAUUUAUUACAAGUGGAGCAAGUGGAGGAAAAUAAUGUUGAAAAGUCAAAAAUAGUGACUGCCUCAAGCAAGAAGCAGCUGUUGGUAAAAUAAUCAUAACUUGAGCUGCAGACAUUUGAUCGAGGUGAUUCAAGUUGGGUUGGAAAGAUAAGGCAUGUGUCUACAACUUUCAUGUUUUGGAAGAAGUCAAAUUCGUAUCACAAGGCAGCCAAAAUUACCGUGCAAAGUCCAGCUUGUUACCUGCCGGAUACAGCUUUACCUGUGAAGCAGCAUUUAUUGUUUUUGUCAUAUAUGGAGUUAUAUAUAUCCAAUGAACCUGAUCUUUGAACCAAUGGAAAGAUAACUCAAGUGGAAAUAUUUUAUCUGUUGAUCAUAAGUCAAAAUUCGCUGCAAAAUGUAUCUGAAAAUUGGCAUCAAGUUGCAUGUUCCAGCUGUCUUGAAGCUGGACAGAAACAAGUUGCAUUGCCUACUUGAAUUUUGGAUGUUCCUUUGCCUAUAAAAGGGGACCUUGGCCACGAUUUUGAAGCAUCAAUUCUCUCCACCAUAUUCUAGUUUCCUUCAUUUUCUUUGUAACAUUUCACUAUGUAUUUCUAAACAUUUAGCUAGAGCUAAGGGUGAAACUUUGAUGAAUGUUUAGUAUUGUCUUUGAUCUUUCAUUUUGUUCUUCAAUGUUCAUCUUCUUACUUGGUUGAAGUAUAUGUUCUACAAAUGGUUUUGGUUUGUUAAAGACUUUGAUUUAUUGUUGACAAUUUUGGCACAAUAAAUGCUUAGAUAAUCUCUACAUACCAACAACUUAUUUUGACAUAUUCUCUCAAACAAUUAUCAAGAUCUAUCUUUUAGUAUAUUUGUGGUUAAUGUUUUAUCUUCCAUAUGAGAUCACUCCCUAGUUGAUUUUCAUAUGAGUUAAAUUAAAGAUCAAGUGCAAUUUCUACUCAUUUAUCCGAAGUGAAUCCCCG
rnacentral:lncRNA from 1 species